UACGGAGGGUGCAAGCGUUAAUCGGAAUCACUGGGCGUAAAGCGCACGUAGGCGGCUUGGUAAGUCAGGGGUGAAAUCCCACAGCCUAACUGUGGAACUGCCUUUGAUACUGCCAGGCUUGAGUACCGGAGAGGGUGGCGGAAUUCCAGGUGUAGGAGUGAAAUCCGUAGAUAUCUGGAGGAACACCGGUGGCGAAGGCGGCCACCUGGACGGUAACUGACGCUGAGGUGCGAAAGCGUGGGUAGCAAACAGG
rnacentral:rRNA from 1 species